rnacentral:lncRNA from 1 species
GACACUUGGUGCUCAUCGGGUGCCCUUGAUAUUAAUGGCCGACUGGUAAGUACUGGCGGUUAUAACAAUGGCUCUGACACUGUGAGAAUCCUCGACUUAUGCGAUACUUGUGGCUGGGAAGAAUAUCCUGGUGCACUUGGAAAUGGAAGAUGGUAAGAACCCUAAACUUAUUACAUUUUUCAUUUUUUUAAUGAUUAAAAGCUUGAAUUUGAGUAUUUUGGGUUUCUUUUUGAAGGUAUGCGACACAAGUAACCUUAGGCGAUGGUAGAUUCAUGGUGUUCGGCGGUCGAGAUUUCCCAACAUACGAAUUUGUUCCUUCACAAGGCCAGAAAAACACCCUUAAAGAUGUGAUUGAUUUCAACUUCUUGGUGGAAACACACGAUCCCGUGGAAAACAAUUUGUACCCUUUCGUUUACCUUUCGACUGACGGCAAUGUCUUCAUCUUCGCUAACAAUCGUUCAGUUCUUUUGAACCCUAACACCCAAACAAUCAUCCACGAGUUCCCGGUGCUUCCCAAUGGUGCUCGCAAUUAUCCUGCGUCAGGAAGUGCUUGCCUCCUUCCGAUCAUGCUCAAGCCUAAUGAAGAUCGUAGAGUGAUCCCCUCCGAGGUUUUGAUAUGCGGUGGCGCAUCACAUGAUGCGUAUACCAAGGCCGAUUUGCAGCGCCCUAAGGUGUUUUUUCUAGGGAACACCGACUGUGCUCGCCUUGAUAUCACCAAAAGGAAUGGCAAAUGGAAGAUCAUAAACAUGCCGUCAGCUCGUCUGUUGGGAGAUAUGGUCGUUUUACCAACGGGAGAUGUGCUUAUUGUUAACGGUGCCAAGACCGGUUCAGCAGGUUGGGAUGAUGCUAGGGAGCCGAAUUUGAACCCUGUUUUGUACAAAUUCCAAACUGAUGGAACUGGUUCCAAGUUCACCGUGCUUAACCCAUCCAACAUCCCUCGCAUGUACCACUCCUCAUUUGCACUCCUCCCUGAUGCAAAAAUCCUCAUUGCUGGAAGCAACACGAACCCUGGUUACCUCGAUGAUGCAUUGUUUCCCACCGAAGUUCGGGUCGAGAAAUUCUCACCACAUUACUUGGACCCGAACUUGGCCAUGUUCCGACAAGAGAUCAUUGUCGAGAAGUCCAAUAACCAAGUGAAGUACGGCCAGAAAUUUACAGUACAGAUUCGUGGAAAUGGCGAAAUCGACCAACAGAAACUUCAAGUGACGGUUUACUCGCCGCCAUUUGUAACCCACGGGAUCUCCAUGAAUCAGAGAUUGAUUCAAUUAGGAAUUGUGGAAUUUAACAAAAAUGUUGCUCCAGAUACAAACAACAUUGUUCUUCAAGCUCCCAUGAAUGGCAACAUUGCGCCACCUGGUUAUUACAUGCUCUUCGUGAACUACAAUGGGGUGCCUUGCCGCCAAUCGAUGUGGGUUCAAUUUUUGCCAUAGAUAUUUCACCGGAAGCAUUGAAUCGUCGAAGCCGUUAUAUGUAAUUAUUAUAUUUUUUAUAAAUAAAAAUAUAUGAAUCACUUUGGUCACAUUUUGUUGCACACAUUAUUGGUUUGAAGAUCAUAUACAAUAUAAAAUGUGGACUAUUGGAUUAAUUUGUUUGUGAUUGCUUUUCUCGUCGUGACCUUAGUUAGAUUUUUAUGAUUUAUAUUUUGAUUUUUAUGAUUUUUAUGAAUCGCUUAAAUUUAUUUAAAAGUUUAAAUAGAACUCAUGGAAAAGGAAAUAUUACAAGAUUUGUUUGUUUUCAAUAUUAAAUAGAAAUGCAUAUUGUAAAGUUAUAUAAAAUUUAAAAUAUAUAAUUAAAAUAUUGAAAUAUUACACAAUCUAUUGAUUUUGAAGAAUAAAUAAAAUUCAUAUCAUAAACCCAUACAAAAGUUUAAAAACAUCUAAUUAAAAUAUAAAAAAAAUAGUUUUAAAACGUAAUAUAAAAUCUUAUGAGAGUUUAAAAUUUUUAAUUAAAGAUAUUAAAAUAUUUAAAAUGAGAGUGGUUUAGUAAAUUAUAUUGUAUUUUUUUAUUUUUAUUUCUUUUUGUUUAAUUAAAUCGUGCUAUCUCCUUUACAAUAUAUUAAAUUGUGUUGUCAUGCCGGCAAUAAACGUCGAGUAAUCAAGCGCAGAGAGAAUUUAAGAAAAUGUUGCCGCGAGACAAGCCAUCUAUCAUUAUGAUAGAUGCAAUGAUGUAUGCUGCAGCUUAGGCAUCCUAAUAGACCAGUAAACUUGAAACCUUGUUCCUACAUGACUUGAUCAAUUCGAUUAGGCACUCGCCAUUUAUUUUCAUUGCUCAACUCUUUGACAGCACGAAAAAUCCUUUGUUCAACUCUUGGACAACAUGAAAAAAAUCAAAAGCUCUACCUUCUCUCUCUAUCUAUCCAUGGGAUGGAAGGGUGGAGGCCUUUGGUGUCCCCUCCAAUCAAGAAUCGGAGCCUCAUAAUCACUAGCUAAUAUGCUUUUCCUUUUCUCGCAUGUCUUUUUUCAUUUAUGGUUUGAUAUUCUAGUGUCCUAGGAGUACAAAAACAACACCAAUCCAUCCCGAACUUAGUGGCAAUGGCGAAGUAAAAAAAAAAAUUUGCGGGAGCCGGAAUUAAAUUAUAUAUUUUUCUCACAGUAAAAUUUAUAAGUCUAUAUCUUUAUAAUUUUUAAAAGGAUUAAAUCAAUUUUUUUAAUUUUGAAGGGUUAAAGUGCAAUUUUUACCAUUACUAAUUUAAAAUUUUAUAAAUUAUAAAGAGCCUAAAUAAAAAAUUUUUCCAUUUUAGGUGGGUCGGGGCCCCUACCAGCCCCCUUGACUCCGCCACUACUUGGUGGUUAAACUUUAUUGCGAUAACAAUAUUGUAGGGAGGUCCUGCAGAGAAAUAGCUCAAUGUCAAUUGUAUAAAAUUAUAAAUUUAGUCCAUAUUCUCCAAUUGGAUCACUUUUUUUAAUCUCUAUACUUUUCAAAUUCUAAAAUUUAAAUUUUGACGCAAACGACAAUCAUUAAAUCCAUUAACUUUUUUAGAGUAAUACAUAAAAAUAGCAAGUUGACAUGGUAUUACACAUAUGAUAUUAUAUUUUAAAAAUAACAUAAUUUAACUAAAUAAAUUUAACAGUUACCGUUUAGUCAAGACUAAAAUUUUAAAAAUUGAAAAGUAUAGGGACAAAAAAAUCAAAUUAAAGUUUAAUGAAUUAAUACAGGAAUAUAAUACGGGAAUUAAUAGCCAAAUUUAACAUUUUAUUAACUAAUCUUCCUCUAAACAUGGUGAGAUCACUAAUUUCUCGAGAAAUUCAUGCAUUUUGAAAUGUAAAAAUGCAUAUAAAAGGCAACGAAACCCAUUCUGAAAAAACGAAACAGAUGAUUCACAGAAUAAAAAACAAGCUAGGUUCUACAUUGUAUAUCUAAAUAAUAAAAGAUGGGUUUGUUUUGGAGAGUUCUUAUUAUAUUACCUCUCUUUUUUGCAUAUGUGAACGGUGAAUAUUUUACAUACCCUGCCCGUCAUACUGGCAAAGCCGAGUUAGCCGGUUUCAAGGGUCCAGACUCUCUUGCUACUGAUGGUGGCGGUUUCUUUAGCGGUCCAUUGGUUGUUGAAAAUGAUGCAACUGCUACUCCCAGCAACCAAGGUGGAACUACCGAGGUGACGGUUGGGAAGCCCGGAGACAAUACCCUCGAUGCGUCUGUAGGCAAUGAUGAAAUUAAAGAUGCAAGUAUGAUUGAGGCUGCAACUACAUUUAAAGGGAGUUGGGAAUUAUUCAUUGAGAAUGGCGGUGUUUCCGCAAUGCAUUUGCAAUUGCUUCCUAAGAUCAAUCAAGCUUUGAUGUUUGACGCCACAGUGUGGAAGAUCUCGAAGAUAAAAUUACCACCGCCAUGCCGACACGUCGAGGGAACCAAUGAAGAAGAUUGCUUUGCUCAUUCGGUUCUUAUGGACAUUGAAACAGGAAAGCUUAGGCCACUUAGGGUACGUUUUUUUAAUCUUAUUUUGCUUAGUUAUUACUGGGAUCUAACCUCAUUAUUUAAGAUCAAUAUUUUAAAAAAAAUUGAGUUUGAGACGAGAUGUAACAUCAAUAGUAGUUGGAUGGAGCCUCAAAGAGGGAAAAAAAAACUCUCUCAAUUUUUUAUUUGCGUCAUGAUUUCUUACAAUUUUAUGUUUUUUUUUUAACAUUUUCAUUUUCUUUGUUACAGUUGCACUAUGACACUUGGUGUUCAUCGGGUGGUCUUGAUAUCAAUGGUCGAUUGGUAAGCACUGGCGGUUUUAACAAUGGCUCCGACACUGUGAGAAUCCUCGACUUAUGCGAUACUUGUGAGUGGAAAGAAUAUCCCGGUGCACUUGCAAAUGGAAGAUGGUAAGAACCCUAAAUUUUAUUACAUUUUUUUUAUUUUUUUAAGGAUUAAAAGCUUGAAUUUGACUCUCUCUUUUUUUUUCUUUUGUUCUUUUGGUUGGGGGGUUUGAAGGUAUGCCACACAAGUAACCUUAAGUGACGGUAAAUUCAUGGUGUUCGGAGGUCGAGAUUUCCCGACAUAUGAAUUUGUUCCACCAGAAGGCAAGAAAAACACUCAUCAAGAUGUGGUUGAUUUCAAUUUCUUGGUGGAAACACACGAUCUCGUGGAGAAUAAUUUGUACCCUUUCGUUCACCUUUCGACUGACGGCAACAUCUUCAUCUUCGCUAACAAUCGUUCAGUUAUUUUGAACCCUAAGACCCACAAAAUCAUCCACGAGUUCCCGGUGCUCCCU